rnacentral:rRNA from 1 species
GACGAACGCUGGCGGCGUGCUUAACACAUGCAAGUCGAACGGAAAGGCCCUGCUUUUGUGGGGUGCUCGAGUGGCGAACGGGUGAGUAACACGUGAGUAACCUGCCCUUGACUUUGGGAUAACUUCAGGAAACUGGGGCUAAUACCGGAUAGGAGCUCCUGCUGCAUGGUGGGGGUUGGAAAGUUUCGGCGGUUGGGGAUGGACUCGCGGCUUAUCAGCUUGUUGGUGGGGUAGUGGCUUACCAAGGCUUUGACGGGUAGCCGGCCUGAGAGGGUGACCGGCCACAUUGGGCCUGAGAUACGGCCCAGACUCCUACGGGAGGCAACAGUGGGGAAUAUUGCCCAAUGGGCGGAAGCCUGAUGCAGCAGCGCCGCGUGCGGGAUGACGGCUUUCGGGUUGUAAACCGCUUUCGCCUGUGACGAAGCGUGAGUGACGGUAAUGGGUAAAGAAGCACCGGCUAACUACGUG